GGGUGCGAUCAUACCAGCGUUAAUGCAACGGAUUCCAUCAGAACUCCGCAGUUAAGCGCGCUUGGGCCAGAGUAGUAUUGGGAUGGGUGAACUCCCGUGCAGUCCUGGUGUUGCACGCU
rnacentral:rRNA from 1 species